UACGUAGGGGGCAAGCGUUAUUCGGAAUUAUUGGGCGUAAAGGGCGCGUAGGUGGCCAUGUAAGUCAGAUGUGAAAUCCCUGGGCUCAACCCAGGAAGUGCAUCUGAUACUGCGUGGCUUGAGUUCCGGAGAGGAUGGUGGAAUUCCCAGUGUAGAGGUGAAAUUCGUAGAUAUUGGGAGGAACACCGGUGGCGAAGGCGACCAUCUGGACGAGAACUGACACUGAGGCGCGAAAGCGUGGGGAGCAAACAGGG
rnacentral:rRNA from 1 species